CACGUAGGGGGCAAGCGUUGUCCGGAUUUAUUGGGCGUAAAGAGCUCGUAGGUGGUUCAGUAAGUCAGGUGUGAAACCUCCAGGCUCAACCUGGAGACGCCACUUGAUACUGCUGUGACUGGAGUCCGGUAGGGGAGCGUGGAAUUCCUGGUGUAGCGGUGAAAUGCGCAGAUAUCAGGAGGAACACCAGCGGCGAAGGCGGCGCUCUGGGCCGGUACUGACACUGAGGAGCGAAAGCGUGGGGAGCAAACAGG
rnacentral:rRNA from 1 species